GAGUAAUAAUAAUAAUAAUAAUAAUAAUAGUAAUAAUAAUAACAAUAAUGACAGUGAUAAUAACAACAGAAAUAACAAGAAUGGUGACAAUAACAGCAACAACAACGGCACGCUGACGCUGACAACACCAACGAUACAUGCUGAUAUAAAUUGGUUGUAUUUUAUCGCAAACAUUGAGUACAAAACAACAAAUAAUUUUGACGACUAUGAAAAAAAAUUUACAAAUAACAGUUAUUGUUUCCGUUUGAAUUUUUGCUAAACUAGUCGGACUCAAUCAGAGGUAUUCAUCUGUGGAUCAUGAUUAAUUAAUGAAUUAAUUAAUGCGCUAGUAAUUAUAUUUGAAAUGGGUAGACGAAACUGGAGGUUGCGGCAUUCUAGAAAUUUUCGAGUUCUCUUUUCCUUGCGUUUUUCCUCCGCCGCUUUGUGUGUGCGUGCGUGUGUGUGUGUGUGUGUGUGUGUGUGUGUGUGUGUGGUGUGUGUGUGUUGGUGAAAAGGAGUCGAUCAAACAUUUAAAUAUGGAAACACUGUCCCUUAUUUUGAAAUCUCAAAUUCUUACCCCUAACCCACUAACAAAUAUAUCUACGUACCCCAUAAACACAUAAACACGCAUGCACACGUACAGGCGAUCAUACAGGCUCAUAUUUGGUAUAACUGUAAGCAUUCAUAUGUGCAUAAGUAAAUAUAUUUCUGAGUAU